GUUCUACUUCUGUCGCGGAAAUUCCGAUAGCCUAUUUAUACGCUCGCGGGUCCACUCUAAAUACAAAAUAAAGGUUGGAGACAGAGAAAAAAAUAAAUUUAAAAAUGGCUUGGAAACUUGUACCAAUAUGGUCUGGUAAUUUUGAUUUCUUUGGCCGUCAGAGGGAUUUAUUCUCCGACUGGCUCGAGCACUUUGAUGAUGACUGGCGCGCAGUUACUUUUAAUGAUUCGCUACGGAGAUUCGACCGGGAACUGGAUAGAGUCCGGAGGGAGCUGUACAAAAUGGAUGCCAAGCCAUCUAUACUGAAUGUUGAGCAACCCUUUAUAACAGAUCCUUCCGGCAACAGAAAGCUUUCACUCCGUUUUGAUUGUAGUCAGUUCAAACCAGAGGAGAUUACGGUAAAAACCUUGGACAACAAGCUUAAUGUUCAUGCCAAGCACAUUGAGGAAGGGAAAGGGCGGAAGAGUUACCAGGAGUUUACCAGAGAAUACACACUUCCGGAAAAUGUAGAUCCAAAGCAGUUGAAGUCGCAUCUAUCUUCUGACGGUGUUCUGGAGAUCGAGGCUCCGGCGCCAAAAGCUGUUGAGGCUCCUAAAGAGGUUUUGAUUCCUAUCGAACAUCUUCAUAGCAAGGAGAACUCUGACAAGGGAGAUAAAAAGUAAAUCAACAGUUGUCGUCAUUGUUCAUGUUGAGAAAAGACUUACUAUGUUGUAGGACAUUAAGAGAAUGUUUAAGUUUUGUUACUGAUUACCUUAGCUUACAAGAUUGUAACAUUUAAUGUCUAUCGAUGAGAUUUGUAUCACCUAGGUGUUUUUUAUUUCUUUUACCUGCUCUUUUUUGUCUGUUUUUCCACUAAUUAAAAACAAGACACAUUCCAUAAAGUUGAUGUUCACAAAAA
rnacentral:misc_RNA from 1 species